AUGUCACCAGACCAGCACCAACGCCACCUCUGGGCUCUCGAGGUGAUUUGGGCACCAACGACCCACGCCGGCCUGGUUCCUUUUAUGCUGCAGUCGAAGCUGCCGACGCGCCGAUGGUUCAGAACAAACGGACCCGUCCGACCUCCCUGUUCCUCCCCGUUCUUCCCUGUUCCUCCCCGUUCCUCCCUGUUCCUCCUCGUUCCUCCCUGUUCCUCCCCGUUCCUUCCUGUUCCUCCUCGUUCCUCCCUGUUCCUCCCCGUUCUUCCCCGUUCCUCCCUGUUCCUCCUCGUUCCUCCCUGUUCCUCCCUGUUCUUCCCCGUUCCUCCCUGUUCCUCCUCGUUCCUCCCUGUUUCUUCCUGUUCCUCCCCAUUCUUCCCUGUUCCUCCCUGUUCCUCCCCGUUCCUCCCUGUUCCUCCUCGUUCCUCCCUGUUCUUCCCUGUUCCUCCCUGUUCCUCCCCGUUCCUCCCUGUUCCUCCUCGUUCCUCCCUGUUCCUCCCUGUUCCUCCCCGUUCCUCCCUGUUCCUCCUCGUUCCUCCCUGUUCCUCCCUGUUCCUCCCCGUUCCUCCCUGUUCCUCCUCGUUCCUCCCUGUUCUUCCCUGUUCCUCCCCGUUCCUCCCCGUUCCUCCCUGUUCCUCCUCGUUCCUCCCUGUUCCUCCCCGUUCCUCCCUGUUCCUCCUCGUUCCUCCCUGUUCUUCCCUGUUCCUCCCCGUUCCUCCCCGUUCCUCCCUGUUCCUCCUCGUUCCUCCCUGUUCCUUCCCUGUUCCUCCCUGUUCCUCCCCGUUCCUCCCUGUUCCUCCCCGUUCUUCCCUGUUCCUCCCCGUUCCUCCCUGUUCCUCCUCGUUCCUCCCUGUUCCUCCCCGUUCUUCCCUGUUCAUCCCUGUUCCUUCCUGUUUUUCCCCAUUCUUCCCUGUUCUUUCCCCGUUCUUCCCUGUUCCUUCGUGUUCCUCCCCUUCUUCCCCAUUCUUCCCUGUUCCUCUCUGUUCCUUCCUGUUCCUCUCCGUUCCUUCCUUUUCAUCUCCUUUCUUCCAUGUUCCUCCCUGUUCUUCCCUGUUCCUCCCCGUUUCUCCCUGUUCCUCUCCGUUCUUCCCUGUUCCUUCCUGUUUUUCCCCAUUCUUCCCUGUUCCUUCCUGUUUUUCCCCAUUCUUCCCUGUUCCUCCCAGUUUUUCCUUGUUCCUCUCCGUUCUUCCCUGUUCCUCCCUGUUCUUUCUCGUUCUUACCCGUUCUUCUCGUUCUUCCCGUUCUUCCUCGUUCUUUCUCGUUCUUACCCGUUCUUCUCGUUCUUCCCGUUCUUCCUCGUUCUUCCUCGUUCUUACCCGUUCCGCCCCAUUCUUCCCUGUUCUUUCCCCGUUCUUCCCUGUUCCUUCGUGUUCCUCCCCUUCUUCCCCAUUCUUCCCUGUUCCUCUCUGUUCCUUCCUGUUCCUCUCCGUUCCUUCCUUUUCAUCUCCUUUCUUCCAUGUUCCUCCCUGUUCUUCCCUGUUCCUCCCCGUUUUUCCCUGUUCCUCUCCGUUCUUCCCUGUUCCUCCCUGUUCUUCCUCGUUCUUCCCGUUCUUCCCGUCUAAUCUCGCUGCCUUGGUGAGUUCUAUGCCGUUCUCCCGGGUCUCAGCGGCGCCGGAGCGCCUGCGUUUCCUACAGGGCGACAAAUGA
ensembl:lncRNA